rnacentral:rRNA from 1 species
AUUGAACGCUGGCGGCAGGCCUAACACAUGCAAGUCGAGCGGCAGCGGGAAAGUAGCUUGCUACUUUUGCCGGCGAGCGGCGGACGGGUGAGUAAUGCCUGGGAAAUUGCCCAGUCGAGGGGGAUAACAGUUGGAAACGACUGCUAAUACCGCAUACGCCCUACGGGGGAAAGCAGGGGACCUUCGGGCCUUGCGCGAUUGGAUAUGCCCAGGUGGGAUUAGCUUGUUGGUGAGGUAAUGGCUCACCAAGGCGACGAUCCCUAGCUGGUCUGAGAGGAUGAUCAGCCACACUGGAACUGAGACACGGUCCAGACUCCUACGGGAGGCAGCAGUGGGGAAUAUUGCACAAUGGGGGAAACCCUGAUGCAGCCAUGCCGCGUGUGUGAAGAAGGCCUUCGGGUUGUAAAGCACUUUCAGCGAGGAGGAAAGGUUGAUGCCUAAUACGUAUCAACUGUGACGUUACUCGCAGAAGAAGCACCGGCUAACUCCGUGCCAGCAGCCGCGGUAA